rnacentral:rRNA from 1 species
AGGGAAUAGAUACCCAGGUAGUCCCAGCCGUAAACGAUGCUCGCUAGGUGUCAGGCAUGGCGCGACCGUGUCUGGUGCCGCAGGGGAAGCCGUGAAGCGAGCCACCUGGGAAGUACGGCCGCAAGGCUGAAACUUAAAGGAAUUGGCGGGGAGCACAACAACGGUGGAGCCUGCGGUUUAAUUGGACUCAACGCCGGACAACUCACCGGGGCGGACAGCAAUAUGUAGGCCAGGCUGAAGACCUUGCCUGAAUCGCUGAGAGGAGGUGCAUGGCCGUCGCCAGUUCGUACUGUGAAGCAUCCUGUUAAGUCAGGCAACGAGCGAGACCCGUGCCCACUGUUACCAGCAUGUCCUCCGGGACGAUGGGUACUCUGUGGGGACCGCCGAUGUUAAAUCGGAGGAAGGUGCGGGCCACGGUAGGUCAGUAUG